rnacentral:ncRNA from 1 species
GAUAGAGGCGCGGUAUCCAUCAGUACCUCCCGGAAGGCCAGUGCAGCCGGGGAAGGGAAAGGGGCCACCGCCGAAGUGUCCGGGCAAUGCCUGUUGUCCGGGUGCUGGGUCGGCAGAGAAUAUCUGCCGGACUGUCACAAGAUUUUUUGUGAAGCGCUAUCA